UGAACGCUGGCGGCGUGCCUAAUACAUGCAAGUCGAGCGAACAGAUGAGGAGCUUGCUCCUCUGACGUUAGCGGCGGACGGGUGAGUAACACGUGGAUAACCUACCUAUAAGACUGGGAUAACUUCGGGAAACCGGAGCUAAUACCGGAUAAUAUAUUGAACCGCAUGGUUCAAUAGUGAAAGACGGUUUUGCUGUCACUUAUAGAUGGAUCCGCGCCGCAUUAGCUAGUUGGUAAGGUAACGGCUUACCAAGGCGACGAUGCGUAGCCGACCUGAGAGGGUGAUCGGCCACACUGGAACUGAGACACGGUCCAGACUCCUACGGGAGGCAGCAGUAGGGAAUCUUCCGCAAUGGGCGAAAGCCUGACGGAGCAACGCCGCGUGAGUGAUGAAGGUCUUCGGAUCGUAAAACGCUGUUAUUAGGGAAGAACAAAUGUGUAAGUAACUAUGCACGUCUUGACGGUACCUAAUCAGAAAGCCACGGCUAACUACGUG
rnacentral:rRNA from 1 species